GGUCAAGCUACAAAGCUUAUGU
rnacentral:rRNA from 1 species